AAACGUAAUUAGAAAGGAUGCUUUUUGACCUUGAUCUCACCGAAGAGAAGGGAAUGUGUACUAACCCUAGAUCUGCAAGUGGUUGCAAAAAUAGAAAUAGAGUGCUUGCUUACAAUGUAUGAGAGAAGCAACCAAUAGUACUGAAAAAUAUCUGGAGUAAUUUGCAUCUUAUGUGAAAUACGAAUUUACUUUUACAUUGCAAGAAGCAGAGUUUGCUUGUUUGUUUGUUUUCCCUCGACCUCUCAGGUCAGCACAUUUUAAGAUCAUUGCUUAUGUGGGAAAAGGUGACCUAGAUGGUUUUGCAGGUCCUUUUCCCCAGCAGUAUGAUGCAAUGUUUUUAAACUACGUGAACCCUUUUCUGGAAUAUACCUCUUUAGAGAAUAACCAGGCUCAAUAGUUAAACAUUACUGAUUGGGGCCAGAGUGAAAAAAAAAAAAAAAAAGCUCAUUCUUUAAAAAAUAAUCUCUUGAGUCCUUUAGUCUCUGUGGGAAUGCAGUGUUUCAGCAAUAACAUUUGCCUGACAGUUAAUGAUCAGCUGGGGAAAUAUACAGUCCAGGGUAAAUUUGAGGUCCUUUAAGUCAGUCAGUUAUUUAUUAAAGAGAAAUAUCCAGCCAAAAGGCAUCCAUACUGUCGUGUUAAAUACUGCUUUGAAAAAUGAAAUGGCACGUUUUCCUUCAGACAGGCUCUCAGAGGACUUCUACGUGCAUGAUCUUGUUUAUUCCUUCUGUCAAUCUGGGGAAGAGGGAUGGCCAGAUGAUGUUAUUUCACAAAGGCUGUCAUGAGGGUCCGUGGGGUGGCUGGUGGCUGGAGGUCAAUGACUGGCAGGCAGACCAAGACUAGGAUGUCUCCUGACUCCUGGCCUGCUGUGGUUUCCACUGGAGCACAUUCUUUCUCAACCAGAGAUGUUGUGAUGUACUGCACGGUACUUGAUUGCAGCAGUCAUGGGUUAUUUGUGACAUUAAUAACCAUGGUAUCCUUCGCCUUGCUGGGGCCCUUAUGUGUGUAGUGAGGUUUGUAAUAUAACUUUUCAAAAUGGAAGAAAGCAUUUAAAACAUCCUUGGAGGGAAAAGAAGCACAGGCAGACUCUGAUAAUCCCACUUUCUCAUUUGUCAUACCUCUAAAAGAAACCUCAAGUCAAGGUGAAAUCAUUUUACUGAUGCGAUGGCUGCUGUCUGUCACAUUUCAAGUAAAGUCUAUGCCAUAUGUCUGGUUCAAACAUCAUCUUGAGACUAGCCAUUGACCUUUUAAACUUUUGGCAUCAUCAUCCAGUAAGGACAAGCAGCAAACUUAGGCAUACAGGCAAAAAUAUAGAAAUAUAUAUAUAUUGAAGCAUGUUUCCUGACCCUGGACAAAAUCCAGUGAGUAAUUUAUAUUCUCAAUGUUACUUGUGGGUGUACAUAUGUACACUUAUAUAAUAAUCUCCAGAAUUACUAUCUGACACCCCUGUAUCUGCCUUCUACAUAUGCAGUGUCUUUUCUUUUCCUCUGGUCUUGAAGGAGCAGAAUUCUACCCCCUCCUCCUUUGUGACUUUAAGCAAGUCAUUUAGUUUUUCUAACUUUCAUUGGCCGCCAGGUGAUAUGUGCGUUGCUUAGCAUUAAGAUUUUGUUGUGACUGUAGUUUUCUAGAACUUUUAUUCAUUUGGAAAGUUUGUUAACCAAAUUAUUUUUUGCGUAUAUACUAUAUGGCCAGCAGACAGCAUGCCAGCUCUCAGCCAAACAGCCUGGUUCAGAUGCUCAGGGAGCACAUACCCUCUGGGUGAAGGGGGAGGUUCCUUAAAUAAUUUCUGAAUGUCAGCUGUGAAAAGUGUUUCAGGAGGGUUUGUAAUAGAGAUCGCUUUCAUGUGAUUGUGUGAGUGUGUGUAACAGAGAAGUGGCCUGUGACUCGUUCAAACUUAGUUGACGCCGAGUUCUUUCCCCCUUUUGCUGUGAUCUGCAUCCCCUGAGUUCUUAACUCUUCCUUGACUGAUUUUGAUAACUUCUUAACGAGUUUCCCUUUUGGCUCUUACCCACUACAGUCCAGAUUCACACAGUUGCUAGAUUACCUGUUUAAAAUAGAAAUCAAACCAUCUCUCACUCUCUUGCUUGCGACUUUCAUGCAAGAUUUCUCUUCUCCACCCUGACAUUCAAAGCCUUCUAAUCAUUUGGUCCAAAAUUUUUCAUGUAGCCUCACUUCUCCUCCUUCUUCUCAAGAGCUAUCCAUCAGGGAUCUAGAGCAAGGCACCUGUAAUUCGAUGAGAGGGCAGUCUGGCUGAGCUCGAGUGUGAAAGUCAUUCAUUCUGAUUUACUUCUUAAAGACAAGAUGGACAGACUCCCCCAAAACAAGGGGCAUCCUGGGAAAUGUCUACAGCUAAGGGAUAAGAAGAAACAGUUGGCCAGAUCAAAGGAGUGUAAACUAGUGUAGCAUCAUCAAAGCCCAAGAAAAUGGAAUUUCAAGAGAGGGUGAACUACAGAGGGGAAUGAAGGAGAAAGAACUGAGAAAAGUAUCCUGGAUUUGCAGAUAUAGAGAUCAUUUGAAUCAUUAAUUGCAGACACGUAAUGACAGAUUAUACUGCUUCUAAAAAACAGUCUUCUGAAUAACACUCAUUCAGAGAAUAUAAUAAGCAUAAUGUGAUAUCAGAAAAAAAAAUAACCACCUCUCAGAUUAGGGAAAAAGCCCUCUUCCUAGAAU
rnacentral:lncRNA from 1 species